UGGCGGACGGGUGAGUAACGCGUGGGUAAUCUGCCUCAUACAGGGGGAUAACAGUUAGAAAUGACUGCUAAUACCGCAUAAGACCACAGCACCGCAUGGUGCAGGGGUAAAAACUCCGGUGGUAUGAGAUGGACCCGCGUCUGAUUAGGUAGUUGGUGGGGUAACGGCCUACCAAGCCGACGAUCAGUAGCCGACCUGAGAGGGUGACCGGCCACAUUGGGACUGAGACACGGCCCAA
rnacentral:rRNA from 1 species